rnacentral:rRNA from 1 species
UACGUAGGGGGCGAGCGUUGUCCGAAUUUACUGGGCGUAAAGAGCGCGUAGGCGGCUUGACAAGUCCGGUGUGAAAUCCCGAGGCUCAACCUCGGAACUGCAUCGGAAACUGUCAGGCUUGAGUAUGGGAGAGGAGAGCGGAAUUCCUGGUGUAGCGGUGAAAUGCGUAGAUAUCAGGAGGAACACCCGUGGCGAAGGCGGCUCUCUGGCCUUUUACUGACGCUGAGGUGCGAAAGCUAGGGGAGCGAACGGG